AACGAACGCUGGCGGCAGGCUUAACACAUGCAAGUCGAACGGGUGCAGCAAUGCAUCAGUGGCAGACGGGUGAGUAACACGUGGGAACCUUCCUAGGGGGUACGGAACAACUCAGGGAAACUUGAGCUAAUACCGUAUACGUCCGUAAGGAGAAAGAUUCAUCGCCCCUAGACGGGCCCGCGUCGGAUUAGGUAGUUGGUGGGGUAACGGCCUACCAAGCCUGCGAUCCGUAGCUGAUCUGAGAGGAUGAUCAGCCACACUGGGACUGAGACACGGCCCAGACUCCUACGGGAGGCAGCAGUGGGGAAUCUUGGACAAUGGGCGCAAGCCUGAUCCAGCCAUGCCGCGUGAGUGAAGAAGGCCUUA
rnacentral:rRNA from 1 species